rnacentral:rRNA from 1 species
UACAGAGGUCUCAAGCGUUGUUCGGAUUCAUUGGGCGUAAAGGGUGCGUAGGCGGCAGUGUAAGUCCGGUGUGAAAUCUCGGGGCUCAACCCCGAAACUGCAUUGGAUACUGCAUUGCUAGAGGACUGUAGAGGAGAUUGGAAUUCACGGUGUAGCAGUGAAAUGCGUAGAUAUCGUGAGGAAGACCAGUGGCGAAGGCGAAUCUCUGGGCAGUUCCUGACGCUGAGGCACGAAGGCCAGGGGAGCAAACGGG